rnacentral:rRNA from 1 species
AAUGAACGCUGGCGGCGCGCCUAAUACAUGCAAGUCGAGCGAGAAGACGUAGCAAUACGUUUGUAAAGCGGCGAACGGGUGAGGAAUACAUGGGUAACCUACCCUCGAGUGGGGAAUAACUAGCCGAAAGGUUAGCUAAUACCGCGUACGCUCCUUGGACUUCGGUUCAGGGAGGAAAGCGAUACCGUGGGUAUCGCGCUCUUGGUUGGGCUCAUGUCCUAUCAGCUUGUUGGUGAGGUAACGGCUCACCAAGGCUUCGACGGGUAGCUGGUCUGAGAGGACGAUCAGCCACACUGGCACUGCGACACGGGCCAGACUCCUACGGGAGGCAGCAGUAAGGAAUAUUGCGCAGUGGGCGAAAGCCUGACGCAGCGACGCCGCGUGGGGGA